GACACUUGCUUGCUUUCCUGGUGAGACACAGCCUCAGACAUCUGUGUUUAUGAUUAGGGUCUUUGGUCUGAACGAAAGGCCUACUCCAACGAUUUUCCCAGCGUGGCAGGUUGGUUUGAAGCAGUUUCUUUUGUGUCUGUGCCUCACAAGAUAGAGAAAUGCUUAGAGCAUAGAAAUGGUGGUUCCAGUUUUUAUCCUUCCCGUCUGUGCUUUGAAAACGUGAAGACUAAAUUACAGCCAGGGCCUGCAUGUAAUGUAGUGUGACUAACACAUGCCUUCCAGGAGUCUCUGUAAGGAAAACAUUUCUUACACAUAUGCUUAUCUGUCCAGCCAUCUGUCCCUUCAACUAACGGUUACUUAUUUGCUAUGGAUGAAGCAUUUUGCUGGCAAGGAGAUAUUGAAGCAAUAGGUAAAGAUGUGCCAUAACUAAGUGAGAUAAUUUCUAGUAAUGAUAAAAUGAUAAAUGCCACAAUGAAAACUAGAGAAGUUGAUGCUCGAACUGGAAUCUGAGAAUCCAGUGGGGACUGGGCUUAUUACAAUGUAGAGAAAAUGUCCAUUUCAGACAGAGGGGCAAAAUGUACUCAAGUGAUCCAGUGAGGAUGGAAUUGUUCAGUGUGUCUGAAUUUUAGGUGCCUGGGAAAAAGAGCCUUACCCAGAGGCAGGCCUGAAAGGGUGAGUUACCUACAGACUGAUCCAUGUGUUUUUUUUUUUUCCAUGUAGGGUUUAAUUGUAUUUCCUGUUAGACUCAUAAAUAAUUUCUGCCAGAGUUUGUUGACAGUUCUGUUGCUUUAUUAUACCAUAAAUUAUCAGGUAAAGUUUAAGUAUAGUUUGUGAAAGUGAUAAUGUAGCUCUGAGCUUAGCCUUAGAUAGUUUAUAGAUCAAUCAUUACCUUGUGUUGAAGGUCACUGGGAAAUCAGAAAAACAAAAUGUGUCAGAGGGACCAUCUGUUCUGCUGGAUACUGAUCCCUCUCCCCAAGGUCUGAGUGGUGCCACUUACAAAUGCGAUUAAAACCCAAGUAGAAAUGACAUGUCACUAUAUAGAUGACAAUACUGACCACCUACAGAAAUGCCAAACAACCAUACUCACCAUAUAUUUCAUGUAAAGGAAAGAGUGAUACAGCCAAUUAACAGUUUCUUAAGACAUUGUUACCAUCAUGUUACCUGGAAGAGUCACUUCUGAAUAUUUAUCUAAGAGAAAAUACACGUUCACACAACAUCUGCAUCUAAAUGUUCUACCUAUCAACAUUAGAGACAGAAAUAUCUAAAAUCCUUCAAUGACUGAUUGGAUGAAUUGUGUUACAUCUACACAAGGAUAUACUAUUUUGAAAUAAACGGAACUAUUGUUUUAUAUAUAACAACUUGGGUUGAUUUCAAAAAACAUUAAGCCAAGUGAAAGAAACC
rnacentral:lncRNA from 1 species